GAUGAACCCUAGCUCUAAAUACCCACCUUCGAUCACUUCCACUUCCUUCACUCGCUGUUCAUUGUCGAUCUUCACGAACUUCUCUCUUUGGAACUGCGGGCCAGGCAUUCCGGGAGGAUAUGUGACAUAGAGAACAGUGCCCACUCCGCCAUUGCCUUCUUCAACCUUGAUUUUGCCAGCCAUGUUUGGAAGAAGUUCGGCGAUCAGCUCGGGGAGUCGAACCGAGCCGUACACUACCCACACAUCGCUGGCCGGCAAGUCUGCCUCAAGCUCAUGAGAGAGGCUUCCCU
rnacentral:misc_RNA from 1 species